GUAGGUGGCAAGCGUUGUCCGGAAUUAUUGGGCGUAAAGCGCGCGCAGGCGGUUCUUUAAGUCUGAUGUGAAAGCCCACGGCUCAACCGUGGAGGGUCAUUGGAAACUGGAGAACUUGAGUACAGAAGAGGAAAGUGGAAUUCCACGUGUAGCGGUGAAAUGCGUAGAGAUGUGGAGGAACACCAGUGGCGAAGGCGGCUUUCUGGUCUGUAACUGACGCUGAGGCGCGAAAGCGUGGGGAGCAAACAGGAUUAGAUACCCUGGUAGUCCACGCCGUAAACGAUGAGUGCUAAGUGUUAGGGGGGUUUUCCGCCCCCCUUAGUGCUGCAGCUAACGCAUUAAGCACUCCGCCUGGGAGUACGGCCGCAAGGCUG
rnacentral:rRNA from 1 species